UACGUAGGGGGCAAGCGUUGUUCGGAUUCACUGGGCGUAAAGGGUGCGUAGGCGGUCGGGUAAGUCUGAUGUGAAAUCUCACAGCUUAACUGUGAAACUGCAUUGGAUACUAUCCGGCUCGAGGAAUGGAGGGGAGACUGGAAUACUUGGUGUAGCAGUGAAAUGCGUAGAUAUCAAGUGGAACACCAGUGGCGAAGGCGAGUCUCUGGACAUUUCCUGACGCUGAGGCACGAAAGCCAGGGGAGCAAACGGG
rnacentral:rRNA from 1 species